rnacentral:rRNA from 1 species
UGAGUAACACGUGGGUAACCUGCCCAGAAGCAGGGGAUAACACCUGGAAACAGAUGCUAAUACCGUAUAACAGAGAAAACCGCCUGGUUUUCUUUUAAAAGAUGGCUCUGCUAUCACUUCUGGAUGGACCCGCGGCGCAUUAGCUAGUGGUGAGGUAACGGCUCACCAAGGCGAUGAUGCGUAGCCGACCUGAGAGGGUAAUCGGCCACAUUGGGACUGAGACACGGCCCCAGACUCCUACGGGAGGCAGCAGUAGGGAAUCUUCCACAAUGGACGCAAGUCUGAUGGAGCAACGCCGCGUGAGUGAAGAAGGGUUUCGGCUCGUAAAGCUCUGUUGUUAAAGAAGAACGUGGGUGAGAGUAACUGUUCACCCAGUGACGGUAUUUAACCAGAAAGCCACGGCUAACUACGUGCCAGCAGCCGCGGUAAUACGUAGGUGGCAAGCGUUAUCCGGAUUUAUUGGGCGUAAAGCGAGCGCAGGCGGUCUUUUAAGUCUAAUGUGAAAGCCUUCGGCUCAACCGAAGAAGUGCAUUGGAAACUGGGAGACUUGAGUGCAGAAGAGGACAGUGGAACUCCAUGUGUAGCGGUGAAAUGCGUAGAUAUAUGGAAGAACACCAGUGGCGAAGGCGGCUGUCUGGUCUGUAACUGACGCUGAGGCUCGAAAGCAUGGGUAGCGAACAGGAUUAGAUACCCUGGUAGUCCAUGCCGUAAACGAUGAUUACUAAGUGUUGGAGGGUUUCCGCCCUUCAGUGCUGCAGCUAACGCAUUAAGUAAUCCGCCUGGGGAGUACGACCGCAAGGUUGAAACUCAAAAGAAUUGACGGGGGCCCGCACAAGCGGUGGAGCAUGUGGUUUAAUUCGAAGCUACGCGAAGAACCUUACCAGGUCUUGACAGUCUUCUGCCAACCUAAGAGAUUAGGCGUUCCCUUCGGGGACAGAAUGACAGGUGGUGCAUGGUUGUCGUCAGCUCGUGUCGUGAGAUGUUGGGUUAAGUCCCGCAACGAGCGCAACCCUUAUUACUAGUUGCCAGCAUUCAGUUGGGCACUCUAGUGAGACUGCCGGUGACAAACCGGAGGAAGGUGGGGACGACGUCAAAUCAUCAUGCCCCUUAUGACCUGGGCUACACACGUGCUACAAUGGAUGGUACAACGAGUCGCGAAACCGCGAGGUUUAGCUAAUCUCUUAAAACCAUUCUCAGUUCGGACUGUAGGCUGCAACUCGCCUACACGAAGUCGGAAUCGCUAGUAAUCGCGGAUCAGCAUGCCGCGGUGAAUACGUUCCCGGGCCUUGUACACACCGCCCGUCACACCAUGAGAGUUUGUAACACCCAAAGCCGGUGGGGUAACCUUUUAGGAGCUAGCCGUCUAAGGUGGGACAGAUC